rnacentral:misc_RNA from 1 species
UGGCGGCGUGGUGUGCGGCGG